UGUUCGGCCAUUGAAGGCGUGUGUCCUCUCAGCUGUGACAGCGCUGAUCUGAACUGUUUCCUGGUCGACAACAACGGCUUCGUCCUGAUCUCAAAAGAGAGGAACGAGGAGGCUCAUGAACAACAUCUGGAUGGCUCACUGGGUUUCAUGACAGUUCUGGUUUUAAUCUGUGUUCGUGGCGCAUUAGCGCUGAAAUAUAGCAGCUGCUGCACCUGAUGACCUCAUCUGACUGUGGGCGGGGCUUACACAGAGGGCGGAGCAACAUGUGGCUGCUUUGAUCCGUCUGAAAGAGUGAAUUUCAGUCGACGACAUUUAAUCAACCAAAAAAGUUACCAAAACCCAAACAGGUUAAGUUUAUCUGACUUAAUAUUGUGAUCUUCCUAAAUCUUUUUUGUUUACUUAUUAUCUCAUAAUCAGGACUAAGUAAUAAUUUAGACUCAAAAUCAAAUAGAAAAUAAUAACUCUUUUUUGUGAAAAAGGUAAAUACAAAUAAUAUUUUUUUACUGUGAAAAAUGAAGUAUAAAAUAUUUUUAUUUACUAUGUAGAAUUGUUAAAUAUAGUUAUUUAAUUUUGUCUUUUGUAACUUCACUAUAAUUUUACGUAUCUCAAUUAUUGUUGUAACUCAAAUGUAUAGUAUUUUUACAUAUUUUUUGUGUUUUUGUUGUUGGCCUUAAUGGGCUUCCGUACCUUGCUGUCACUUUGAGGACCUUUAAAGCGUCUGAGUGUAGAGACGAGCAGCCUGCUAUCCAUCUGACAGCUGCUCGUUAGCGCUGGAUUAACUCCUGUUAGGAGCCGUAUUACUGAGGAUUAAUGCAGACACACUCACACACUCUCUCUCUCUCUCACACACACACACACACACUUAUACAUCAUGAAUCUCUCUCUGGACCUUCGGCUUGUAGUUCUGUUGAGGACUUACCGGGAGUCGAACCUGUGAUGUCCGUGUCACAGGUCGGUGACCGUGACCUCAUCCGGCCUCCAGAUGUUGAGCAGCUGGAGGGCUGAUGAGGUUUAUCUGUGUCCUCUGUGAGGCUGUCGGGGACGUGCAGCUGGAGGACGGAGCACUCAGCGUCUCUCUUAUGUAACAGCAUGAGAGCUUUGUUGUGUCUGUGGGUCCAGUGACCCGUCGUUAGUCUGAGCUCCUGACGGGGAGCUGAGUAUCGUCUAAACUACUACCAGUACUUCAUUUCAUAACUUCUGUUUCUACUUCAUUCGAUACCAUCAUGUGAAGGAGGAGUUUUCAUCUAUGCCAUCGAGUCCCCUCCUCAUUCACAUAAUGUUACAUAGAAAUGAUCCUUCUUCAUAUUUUGCAUGUAUUCUGAUCAGAUGUGUAGCAGAGCCACGCUGCUUUAAACAGACUGGAUGAGUUGUAGCUGCUGCUGCAGAGGACCAAUCACAGGACACGUUCAACCAAACAACUCUUGCGGUGAUUUGCUGCAAACAAAAUCAGUCUUUUUGUUUUGUAUAUUGCACUUCUUAGUUGGAACACUAGAGGCCAUUUUAUUUUACUAAAUUAUUUUCUUUAUUUAUUUCUCAGUUUAUUGUGAUCAGAUGGACUCUCACUGAGCUCUCUCUUAUUGUUAUUGUCUUGUUUCUGCUGCUUUUGUCUCUCAGAGCUCUUUGUAAACUCUGUUUUUAAAAGGUGCUAUAAAUAAAGUUAUUAUUAUUAUUAUUUGGAAAAACUGCUUCACCCACAUUGAUUCCAAGUGGAUGAAAACAUUCUCCUCAGGU